UGGGGAAUUUUGGACAAUGGGCGAAAGCCUGAUCCAGCAAUGCCGCGUGUGUGAAGAAGGCCUUCGGGUUGUAAAGCACUUUUUGUCCGGAAAGAAAUCCUUGGCUCUAAUACAGUCGGGGGAUGACGGUACCGGAAGAAUAAGCACCGGCUAACUACGUGCCAGCAGCCGCGGUAAUACGUAGGGUGCAAGCGUUAAUCGGAAUUACUGGGCGUAAAGCGUGCGCAGGCGGUUUGCUAAGACCGAUGUGAAAUCCCCGGGCUAACCUGGGAACUGCAUUGGUGACUGGCAGGCUAGAGUAUGGCAGAGGGGGGUAGAAUUCCACGUGUAGCAGUGAAAUGCGUAGAGAUGUGGAGGAAUACCGAUGGCGAAGGCAGCCCCCUGGGCCAAUACUGACGCUCAUGCACGAAAGCGUGGGGAGCAAACAGGAUUAGAUACCCUGGUAGUCCACGCCCUAAAACGAUGUCAACUAGUUGUU
rnacentral:rRNA from 1 species